UACGUAGGUGGCAAGCGUUGUCCGGAUUUACUGGGCGUAAAGAGCGCGCAGGCGGUCGUGCAAGUCGCGUGUGAAAGCCCCCGGCUCAACUGGGGAGGGUCACGCGAUACUGCUCGACUUGAAGGCAGGAGAGGGAAGUGGAAUUCCCGGUGUAGUGGUGAAAUGCGUAGAUAUCUGGAGGAACACCGGUGGCGAAGGCGGCAUCCUGGACCAAUACUGACACUGAGGAGCGAAAGCCAGGGGAGCAAACGGG
rnacentral:rRNA from 1 species